rnacentral:sRNA from 1 species
GGCGCUCUUAACCGCUGAGCCAUCUCUCCAGCCCUCUGAUUUUUUUUCUUAAGUGAAUCAAAAAAUGCAGAAACAGCCCAGAGUUUACAGUCUCAAGUGUCUGAGGGAGGAAGGGCAUGAUUACAUGCAUCAGGGAUUAGCUGAGUCACGGAUAAUGCCUUGGUGUGGCCUUAAGGACGCUGCUUCCCCUUGGAGUCGGUCAGGACUGAGCUCAGGUGGGAAUGCUGCUAAUUUUGCAUGUUCCUUAGCAGAGAAAGCAUGCUGACCAUUGAAUUGUCAGGUAGUUCAUGUAGCUAACGAAUUUGAUUAUCACCAACAGCCCCGUGGCAUAGGUCUACAGCCCAGUACACUCGGUAGACACAGAGAGGUUAUACUAUAAUCUGACAAAGGAAACUUCAAACUGAAACUCGUCAGAAGAGAUAAAGAGGGACGCACCAGUCUAAUCAAGGGGACAGUUAGCCGAGAAGACGUUGCUAUCCUAAACAUUUAUGUGCCAAACUCUGGGACACCUAAUUUCAUUAAAAACAAACAAACAAACAAACAAACAAACAAACCAACAACAGCUGCUGCUGGAUUUAAAGACACAGUUUAGUAGCCGUCCAGCAUUACUAGGAGAUUUCAAUACCCAUAGGCUCAUACUCUCCAUGAGCCUUUGAACCAGAGAAACACCAGAAUUAACUACAUCAUUCAUCAAAUGGACUUAAUGGACACAGAACAUUCCAAUCGAGCACCAAAGAACGUACAAUCCACUCAGUAGCACAUGGAAGCCUUUCUAAGUUGGACCACAUCUGUGGACACAAAACAAAUCUUUAAAAAUUCAAAAGGAUUGAAAUCACUUCUGGUUUCUUAUCUGACCACAAAGCAAUGAACCUUAAAACUGACAGCAAAAGAAUCUUUAGCAAACACACAAACUCAUGGAGAUUAAAAGGCACAUUACUGAAUGAUGAAUUGGGCCUUAGGAAAAAAAUUCAAAAACAAACUAAAAAUGUCCUAGAACUGAAUGAGAAUGAACACACAACAUAGCCAAGCCUCGGGUACAAUGUGAACGCAGCGACUCAUGAGAUAAACGCACAGCUCUAAGUUGGUGCAUUAAAAAUCAAAAAGAGCAUAAAUAAAUGACUUAAAGAUACAACCAAGAAAUGUAGAACAAGUACAAACCAAAUGCAGACCCAAUUAAUGGGAAGAAAAAAAGAAAUCAGAGUAGACACCAAGGAAAUGGGAGCAACGAUAACAGAUAACCCAAAGAUCCAGUGUUUUGAGACAAUAAACAGGACAGACAGCUCUUGGCCCAAGUAGCCAAAACAGGGCAAGAAAGACCCAAAUGAACAAAAUGAGAAACAAACACGGAAAUCUUACAACAGAGACCAAAGAAGCUCAGAGUAACAUAAGGGAAUAUUUUUAGAAGCCUGUAAACCAUUAAGCUAUUUUCGAAAACAUAAACAAAAAAAUGAUGAAUUCUUAUAUUCAGCCAAACCACCAAAAUUAAAUCAGAAGAACUCAACAAUCUAAGCUGACCCACAGUGAAGAAGGAGACCCAAUAAUAAUGAAAAGCCUUUCAGCUAAAGUAAGUAAAUAAAUAAAAAUAAUGCAACACACACACACACACACACACACACACACCCCUAAAACAAAAAUCGCUAGGGCCAGAUGAAUUCACAGCAGAGUUCUCCCAAACUUUCAAAGAUCAACAGCCAACUCUUCAUAAUCUUUCUUAAUCUACUCAAGCAAGCGGAGACAUUACAGAGUGUCCCCAAACUCAAUCUAGGAAGCCAGUAUCACUGAAACACCACUACCAGGAAACACUGCAAAAGAAAACUACAUGCUAGCAUACUUGAAGAACACAGACCCAAAAAUGCUCAGUAAAAUACUGCCAUGCAGAGUACAGACAGACACCAAACCAAGCUGGCUUUAUUCCCGAAACAUUUAUAAGUCAAUAAGUGUAACCAAUCACAUAAAUAGACUUACCAACAAGAACUAUAGGAUCAUCUCAACAGAUGCAAACACAAGCCUUUCACAAGAUCCAAUAUACCUUCAUAAUAAAAGUCCUGGAGAAUGCAGGGCUGGAGGGAUCAUACCUCAACAUAGUAAGAGCUUUACAUGAGAGGCCCACAGACAACACUAUCAUACAUGGAGAAAAGGUUGAAGCAAUCCCACUGAAGUCAGGAAUGAGACAGGGAUGUCUACUCUCCCCACUCCUUUUCAAUACUGUGCUUGAAGUACUAGCCACAGCAAUAAGGCAAGAGAGGGAAACUAAAGGGAUACAAGUAGGGGGAAAUGGAACCAUUCUUACUGCAGAUGGCAUGGUACUGUAUAUUACAGAUCCCCAAAACUCUGCCAGAAAACUAGAAAUGAUAAAUGAACUCAGCAACACAGCAGGACACAGAAUCAAGUUGUACAAAUUAAUAGCUUUCCUAUACACCAAGAACAAACAUACAUAAGAGAUUAUGGACAUGUGAAUUCCCAUUCACAAUAGCCUCAAAGAAAGUAAAAUAUCCAGGAGUAAACUCAACUGAGGAGGUGAAGGACCACAAAAACGAAAACUUCAAGCCUCUGAAGAGAGAGCUUGAAAAAGACAGUAGAAAAUGGACAGACAGCCCACGCUCAGGGAUUGGGAGAAUUAACAAUGGAAAAUGAUUGUUUUAGCAAAGGCUAGUUACAGAUUCAGUGCAAUCCCAAUCAAAGCCCCCAUCUCUUUCUUCAGAGAAAGAAAAAAAAAAUCCUAAACUCAUAUGGAACCACGAAAGACCCCUGUUAGCAAAAACAAUUCCGAACCAUGCUAGAAAGAAUUAUCAUUCCAGAUCGUAUGAUACAUUGCAGAGCUAUAUACAAUACGCAGACAAGAAGAAAUGGGACAAAAUCAAAGACCCAAACAUGAAUACAUGUCCCCGCAGGCACUUUAUGUUUGGCAAAGAGGCAAAAAGCAUAUACUGGAAAGAAGAAAGCAUCUUGAACAUGCUGGGAAAACUGGGUGUCAACAUGCAGAAGAAUGACGCGUAUCUAUUUUAGCUGCAUGAAACUAACUCCACAUGGAUCGAAAACCUAAACCUGAAACCCUGAAACCAGUAGACAAAAUCCACAGGCGGCACCCAGACUUUCUGAAUCGGAUUCCAUUUGCCCAAGAACUAAGGCCAACGCUUGGCAAAUGGGGCUUCAGAAAACUAAAAAACUUCUGCACAGUUAAAGAAAUAAUCAGUGAAGAAGCCCCCAGAAUGGGAGAACCUUUGCCAGGUACAAGUCUGACAGAGGAUUCAUGGGCAAAAUAUAUAAAGAACUCAAAAAAAAAAAAAAAAAAAA